rnacentral:lncRNA from 1 species
AUGUUUGUAUGGGUGGGGGUAUUGGAUAAACGGGAAAACACCUCACAAAACAAAGAAAAUACAGCUUACCCUAAAACAAUAAGUAACAUUAUGAAUAAAAGAAAAAGAAAAAAAGAUGGGCUACAGAAAUCACAGAAAGCGAUCGGUAACACAGGAGUAUCGUUAAAAGACAUCGGAAGUUCACAAACAUCUGCAUCUCCAGCAGUCACACGAACCAGAACAAGGCCCCUACAAGUGAGAGGAGAAACACCCCCUGCUUCUCGGCGUGCUUCUGGCCGCUUCUCCCACCCCCACCCCCCCGAUUUUGCAGAUUUUUUUUUUUUCUUUGCGUACUUUAAACUAUACGAUCUCGAUUGUACCCGAAGCCUCGCUGCCCCCAGAUUCCACAUCCCCCAUCCGCGCAGACAGGAGAUGCAUACCCACCGCAUCCCAGCGAUUGUCCGGGCGGUCCCAGCAGCGUGCCGCCGACCUAAGGGGAACAGUAAGAUCUAGAUGGUGCAAGAUGGUCGCUGCCAGUUUCAAUGUCUCUUCAAAUACAGUCUUAUCACCCAAAGGAGAACAAAUACAGUUUUUUAAGACAGAAGAGAAGCGUGAAGAAGUGUUAAGACUUUUUCCAGGAUCACACUGAGACAACAGAAGAACAAGAAAUUCGGAUCUUCAUGUUCUGCACCGUGGUUAUAAUAUUUAAAUUCUCCUGUAACUUGGUAGGUAUCACACAAAUUUGUAAGGCAUUACUUAAAAGCAGACUCUUCCUGGUGUUUCUGGAAUUCUAAACUUAACUUCAGAAAUUUAAUAUUCUUUCAUUCCUUUUUUAUUAUUAUUUUUUUUUUGGUAGAGAAUUUCAGAUGAAUAAUCAUCAGAGCUAAUUCUAUUGUAAUUCAUAUUCAUAAAAUAUUAGUAUCUUUGACUUUUAGAAUAUAUACAUACGUAUAAUUAUUUGUAGUUCUUGUCUGCAAACCCAAAGAGCCAGGAUAAUGCUUUCAGACAAAUAUAGUGUACAUAUCUGUAUACUUUCUCAGUAGUUGAAGGA